AAGCAGCAUAAUGAGGACAUAAUGGAAUAUGAAAGAAGAAAAAAAGAGAGACAACAUAAGUGUACAGAAUGUUCAUAGUUGACAGUAUGCUCAGUAAGAAGCAACGUCAUCACCAGUUGUCCUGCAGAUAAUUGAGCACAGCAGAAGUACAAAGUCUCUAAAUACUUAUAUGUUCAUACAUUUCAUGUGCAGAAUUAUGAAAUAAAUUAUAAAGUCUGGGAGAAACUUA
rnacentral:lncRNA from 1 species